ACUCAAAUGAAUUGACGGGGGCCCGCACAAGCGGAGGAACAUGUGGUUUAAUUCGAUGAUACGCGAGGAACCUUACCCAGGCUCGAACGGCUAAUGAAUAAUGUUGAAAGAUAUUAGCUAGCAAUAGCAUUAGUCGAGGUGCUGCAUGGUUGUCGUCAGCUCGUGCCGUGAGGUGUCGGCUUAAGUGCCAUAACGAGCGCAACCCUUAUCUUUAGUUACUAACAGGUUAAGCUGAGGACUCUAGAGAGACUGCCACCGUAAGGUGUGAGGAAGGUGGGGAUGACGUCAAAUCAGCACGGCCCUUACGUCUGGGGCGACACACGUGUUACAAUGGGUGGUACAAAGGGCAGCUACACAGCGAUGUGAUGCUAAUCUCUAAAACCACUCUCAGUUCGGAUUGGAGUCUGCAACCCGACUCCAUGAAGCUGGAUUCGCUAGUAAUCGCGCAUCAGCCAUGGCGCGGUGAAUACGUUCCCGGGCCUUGUACACACCGCCCGU
rnacentral:rRNA from 1 species